rnacentral:lncRNA from 1 species
CGCCUCAGCCAAGUAAAGAAAGGCUCGAGCAACUGCAAGUGUAGACACAAGCAACCAAAUGGAUGCAAAGAUACGACCAGCCAUUGAAUUGAACGCUCUAUCGCCAUAUCCCACAGUGGUAACCGACAUAACUGACAAAUAAAAUGCAUCCAUCCCACAGUGGUAACCGACAUAACUGACAAGUAAAAUGCAUCCAACCACCCAAGCUUCUCAACAAAAUGCAUAACCGCAACCCCAAUUCCAAUACACAGGACCACAACACCCAAUGCCAGUGCCACCUUCAUUCGUAUCCU